rnacentral:rRNA from 1 species
GACAGAGGAGCCAAGCGUUGUCCGGAUUGACUGGGCGUAAAGCGCACGCAGGCGGCCGCGCGCGUGGGGUGUGAAAUCUGGCCGCUUAACGGCCAGGCGCCAUCCCAUACGGCGCGACUGGAGUGAUGCAGAGGUCGAUGGAAUUGCCGGUGUAGUGGUGAAAUGCGUAGAGAUCGGCAGGAACACCCAGGGGGAAACCAGUCGACUGGGCAUCUACUGACGCUGAGGUGCGAGAGCGUGGGGAGCGAACCGG